rnacentral:rRNA from 1 species
CCUACGGGUGGCAGCAGUGGGGAAUAUUGGACAAUGGGCGCAAGCCUGAUCCAGCAAUGCCGCGUGUGUGAAGAAGGUCUUCGGAUUGUAAAGCACUUUCGGCGGGGACGAUGAUGACGGUACCCGCAGAAGAAGCCCCGGCUAACUUCGUGCCAGCAGCCGCGGUAAUACGAAGGGGGCUAGCGUUGCUCGGAAUGACUGGGCGUAAAGGGCGCGUAGGCGGCUUGAUAAGUCGGGCGUGAAAUUCCUGGGCUCAACCUGGGGACUGCGUUCGA